rnacentral:rRNA from 1 species
GCCAGACUCCUACGGGAGGCAGCAGUGAGGAAUAUUGGUCAAUGGCCGGAAGGCUGAACCAGCCAAGCCGCGUGAAGGACGAAGGUGCCAAGCAUUGUAAACUUCUUUUGUCAAGGGACAAAAUCAGGCUCGAGAGCCUGACCGAGGGUACUUGAAGAAAAAGCAUCGGCUAACUCCGUGCCAGCAGCCGCGGUAAUACGGAGGAUGCGAGCGUUAUCCGGAUUUAUUGGGUUUAAAGGGUGCGUAGGCGGACUGUUAAGUCAGCGGUAAAAGCCCGGGGCUCAACCCCGGCCGGCCGUUGAAACUGGUUUUCUAGAGUCGGAGAGAAGUAUGCGGAAUUCGUGGUGUAGCGGUGAAAUGCAUAGAUAUCACGAAGAACUCCGAUUGCGAAGGCAGCAUACCGGCUCCAUACUGACGCUGAGGCACGAAAGCGUGGGGAUCGAACAGGAUUAGAUACCCGUGUAAUA